CUGUUCUCAGGAUAAAGGAUUCCUCACUAUGGAGUGAUGGAGUGUACAUGUAUAACCAAAGGUCCUCUAAUACAAAAGCUGCUAGAAGCCGCUUAUCUUCCUAAGCAGGUAACAGUUGUUCACUGUCAAGGUCACUGCCAAGCUCCUAAAUACAGCUUUGGGAAAUAACGUUGCCAACAAGACUGCUGAAGAGAGAGAAUUAGUGAAGUAACCUAUGGCCAGUAAACCAAAUGCUUCUGAUCGAAUUUCCUCAGGUCUUCUAACAUUGCCUGCUUGCUUAAGUGUCUGGUCCAGACUCCGAACCCCCAGCCUCUUUUCUCAAGCUUCCAGGCAGCGAGAAGAAGCCAGAGGAUUAACUUGGUACCUUAUCACCAACAAAAGGCAGGAACAUCUGGUACAAAGCAGAAUCCAAAAUGGCAGUGCUAGAAAUAGAAGGAAUCUGAUCAGAUGGUACUCAACGUGUACUUCAGAGCCUGUGUGUCUGGGAAGUUGAGUGAACCCUGAAGUCUCUUUGGAAGCUGGAAUUAAAAGAAAUGCAUCCUGAAAUCCUGCUUGAACACUUGAAUUUGUUUUAUAUAUAAUAAAUAUUGUUUCUCUCAGUCAA